ACGAGAAGUAGUGCCGUGGCUAGCGGGUGAGUGCUAAUCUGUGAACUUGUUCCUCAUUUGUGGCUCUUCGUGGUGCUGGACAGGUCGAAGGAGAGGUAGAGCAACAAGAACGAUCAGAAGCCUUACUAAUCAAGGGAGUUCACGUACUUGAGGUGUGACACGGCCCAAGCAAGUCUCACCUGGCGAAGUCAUCUGAACUUAAACUCACUGAACGAAAGAUUGGAGAUAUCGUAUAUAACAAUGCCUGAUGGUGGUGGUGACGCGUGAAGCAUGACGGAAAAUGUGGCAGGUUUGAGGACACUAGACGGAUCAAGGAGAGGUGCAACUUGCAAGAGACCAAGGAGUGAAAGACACGCAAACCAGAGUGAGUAAGUAAGAUCCAGGAGUCCACUCACCACCAUCGUGUGUCAUGGCUGAAGCCUUCAGAGCCAGUGCCGGCACCUCGUGGAGCAACUACCUUUAUGCCCGUCCAGGACACCACAGCUCUCACUACUACUGAAGAGGAAGGAACCCUAAGAAACUGCCUCCCGGAUUCAACAGCGUCCUGAAGUGCACCAGUUGAACCCAUCCUCCAGUCGCCCAGGAUGCCCUUGCCCUUCCUACUCUUCAAAAACCACACGUUUCCGUGCAUUGGACCAACAACAUCCUGCUUGGCUAGCAUGCCGUAGCUCUCACACACGACCAAAGCGGAUCACAAAUGGCCUCAGAAAUAAAAAGUACAUGUUUUA